AUGAAAAAUCGCCAUGGAAGCCCGGCCAUGAAGACCCUGCCCGUCCUCAGUGAUGCAACGGGUUCGGGCCUGUCGGGACGAGCCUCUUCUCCACGCCGUACCGCGGGUCGACCUCCUCGCCGUCCCCGGGAGCGGCAGACGGUGGCAGUCUCUGCCAGUUCCAUUUGCUUGGGAGGCGGUGGUGCCGUUGACGUUGGUGGCGACCACCACGAUGGUGAUGAUGGUGGUGGUGCCGCUGUUGAUCCUGUGGAGCACCGGCGGCCGACGAGGGGUCGAGGCUCCGGCUCUCCACGACGAGAAGCAUCUUCCUGGGAAGAGAGGCCGGAUGAUCCAGCUGGACCGCCAAGCCUCCGCACCGGAGGAGGCCGCCGCCGCCGCAGCCGUGGAAGGCGAAGGUGA
rnacentral:rRNA from 1 species